rnacentral:snRNA from 1 species
AGCUUUGCUCAGUGGCAGUAGUAUGACCAACGAGCUCCAUCUCAGGCAUGAUUACUGGUAAUUGAAAACUUUUCCCAAUACAACUAUUGAAAUAUAGUUUGGAUUGGCAUUUUUUGGACAGUCUGUAUGGAA